rnacentral:rRNA from 1 species
GACGAACGCUGGCGGCGUGCCUAAUACAUGCAAGUAGAACGCACAGUUUAUACCGUAGCUUGCUACACCAUAGACUGUGAGUUGCGAACGGGUGAGUAACGCGUAGGUAACCUGCCUGGUAGCGGGGGAUAACUACUGGAAACGAUAGCUAAUACCGCAUAAUAUUAAUUAUUGCAUGAUAAUUGAUUGAAAGGUGCAAUUGCACCACUACCAGAUGGACCUGCGUUGUAUUAGCUAGUAGGUGAGGUAACGGCUCACCUAGGCGACGAUACAUAGCCGACCUGAGAGGGUGAUCGGCCACACUGGGACUGAGACACGGCCCAGACUCCUACGGGAGGCAGCAGUAGGGAAUCUUCGGCAAUGGACGAAAGUCUGACCGAGCAACGCCGCGUGAGUGAAGAAGGUUUUCGGAUCGUAAAGCUCUGUGUAAGAGAAGAACGGGUGUGAAGAAGUGGAAAAGUUUCAC